GUGCUCACCUCAGCAGCACAUGCCCGAAAGUUGGGACGAUACAGAGAAGGUUAUCACGGCCCCUGCAGGAGGAUGACAUGCGAGUUCUUGAAGGGUUCCAUAUUGUU